AAACAACAGAGGCAGCUUUCUACGCUGUCUAUGAGGUUCUCGCUCCGCUCCAGUCUGUUUCUGAUAAGUGGUGUGCGCUGCACCGCCCCCUUGUUAAGUCACUCAAAAAGGCUGAUCCAGGUCAAGGGAAAAUAAGCUGUAACAGUCAUCAGCCAUUCAACUAAAAGUCUCAGAGCGACACUCUAUUUUUGUGCACUCGACUUUCGGGCGUGGUCUCAGUCUGUGUUACCUCUGACCUCCCUGGCAGAGAGCCGAAGUACCACAGCUUUUUAUAUCAGUUAAAAAAAGGUCGAGCGCCAUAUUUGUUGAUAUCUCCUUACGAGACGCCAUGUACCACACAGUCUGUUACUGUCGCUACUACCAAAGUAUACGAAUAUGGGCCCACUAAAGAAGCUGCACGGUUCACAUCCUGGACUCUUUGCCAAGCCUUGCAAGACAGCUGCAGUUCUUUUUGCACAAGAGAACUGCUGCUCACUGGAUGUUUUGUUUUUUUCACUGCCACACCAUGUAACGGGGGCCUAAAUUAAGAAAUGUGUCAGUGUGUGUUAGCUGACACUACUGCAGAGUUAUCUCUGUGAUGGAGCUGUAAACAACUCUGAGCUGUGCAGCAAAGCAUUCCUGGUGACAGAGGUACACCACCUUCAAGCCAGAAGAUGUGUGUGUAUGUGUGUGUAUGUGUGUGCGUGUGUGUGCGUGUGUGUGUGUGUGUGUGUGUGUGUGUGUGUAUGUGUGUUUGUGUAUUCUAUUCUUUUUUCUCUCCUUACAUGAGCAUCACAAAAUACCAAAUGAUUGGAAUGAUUACUGUUGAUUCUACUAAGAAAGAUUGUUGUUGUUCACCUCUUCA